rnacentral:rRNA from 1 species
GACGAACGCUGGCGGCGUGCUUAACACAUGCAAGUCGAACGGUAAGGCCCUUCGGGGUACACGAGUGGCGAACGGGUGAGUAACACGUGGGUGAUCUGCCCUGCACUUCGGGAUAAGCCUGGGAAACUGGGUCUAAUACCGGAUAGGACCACUGCCUGCAUGGGUGGUGGUGGAAAGCUUUUGCGGCGUGGGAUGGGCCCGCGGCCUAUCAGCUUGUUGGUGGGGUGAUGGCCUACCAAGGCGACGACGGGUAGCCGGCCUGAGAGGGUGACCGGCCAAACUGGGACUGAGAUACGGCCCAGACUCCUACGGGAGGCAGCAGUGGGGAAUAUUGCACAAUGGGCGCAAGCCUGAUGCAGCGACGCCGCGUGAGGGAUGACGGCCUUCGGGUUGUAAACCUCUUUCAGCACCGACGAAGCGCAAGUGACGGUAGGUGCAGAAGAAGGACCGGCCAACUACGUGCCAGCCGCCGCCGUAA